UUGUGGUAGUCCACAAAAUAUUGGGACAUAUAAAAAAGACAACUCUGUUCUGCAGAGUAGCUGUUGACAUUAUAGUUGCGCAGGCACUUUGUUGACUCUAGAGAACCUCGGGCCAAUCGCACAUCCCCAUGAUGGCGACUUUGCAUUCGGAUGUCAUUCAUAUCAACUUUUGAUGCCAGUUUCUGCGCCUACCAUGGUGACCACGGAUAACGGGGAAUCAGGGCUCCAUUCCAUACAGGGACCCUGAGAAACGGCUACCACAUGCAAGGAAGGCAGCAGGCGCGCAAAUAACCCACUCCCGACAUGGGAAGGUAGUGACGA
rnacentral:rRNA from 1 species